rnacentral:tRNA from 1 species
GAGGCGUAGCUCAGUUGGAAGAGCAGCUGACUCUUAAUCAGCGGGUCGUGGGUUCGAGCCCCUCCGCCUC